rnacentral:rRNA from 1 species
UGGGGAAUAUUGGACAAUGGGCGCAAGCCUGAUCCAGCCAUGCCGCGUGAGUGACGAAGGCCUUAGGGUUGUAAAGCUCUUUUGGCGGGGACGAUAAUGACGGUACCCGCAGAAUAAGCCCCGGCUAACUUCGUGCCAGCAGCCGCGGUAAUACGAAGGGGGCUAGCGUUGUUCGGAAUUACUGGGCGUAAAGCGCACGUAGGCGGAUUUGUAAGUCAGGGGUGAAAUCCCGGGGCUCAACCUCGGAACUGCCUUUGAUACUGCGAAUCUUGAGUCCGAUAGAGGUGGGUGGAAUUCCUAGUGUAGAGGUGAAAUUCGUAGAUAUUAGGAAGAACACCGGUGGCGAAGGCGGCCCACUGGAUCGGUACUGACGCUGAGGUGCGAAAGCGUGGGGAGCAAACA